rnacentral:rRNA from 1 species
UAAUACGUAGGGUCCGAGCGUUGUCCGGAAUUAUUGGGCGUAAAGGGCUCGUAGGCGGUUCGUCACGUCGGGAGUGAAAACUCGGAGCUUAACUCCGAGCCUGCUUCCGAUACGGGCAGACUAGAGGUAGGCAGGGGAGAGCGGAACUCCUGGUGUAGCGGUGGAAUGCGCAGAUAUCAGGAAGAACACCGGUGGCGAAGGCGGCUCUCUGGGCCUUACCUGACGCUGAGGAGCGAAAGCGUGGGUAGCGAACAGGAUUAGAUACCCUGGUAGUCCACGCCGUAAACGUUGGGCGCUAGGUGUGGGGGACAUUCCACGUCCUCCGUGCCGCAGCUAACGCAUUAAGCGCCCCGCCUGGGGAGUACGGCCGCAAGGCU